UUUACAAAUAUGUAUUCUUAUACGUCUGCGCUUUAAUAUUUCUAGAAUAUAUUUUAACAUGAUAGAUCGAGAGAUACAUGUUCGCCAAUUUCAUCUAUUUUGCGUUAUGAUGAAGAACAGUUAGAAAAUUACGAUUUGAGCCACAGUGACGAUAAACGGCGGUGCAAUUGCCGCUGAUUUGCAUAUACACAGAAAGAAAGGCGUUUUCCUGGACCCGACUGACGUAGCACGCAACACGUGCCUAAUUAUUUUCUUGUGGCUUACCGCGUGUUUCUCCUGCUUAUUGUACCGCGAUAUAACAAUCCAACCUGGAAAAUCUCCCGAUGUUUUUCACCCGUGGAAUAUUCAUAUACGGGCGCCAGUAGGUGAUCGCGGAUUAAUUAUGCAACACGUUGUUGCAAAACGUUACGGUCUAGAAAUAUGGAUUUUCCUGUUUCCCACGAUUGUAUGCGGCGAAUGCCAUUCUGUCUAUGGAUCGAUCGGUAUUUAUUUCCGCGAACUUCUCGCAGACACGCGUUGACGAGGUUGCACGUGCAUUCAUAAGGUCUAGUACAGCAAUCUUGAAGCUCGUUGAAUAAACAUAAAGCGCACCUGCGACAACAGCGAUUGUUUGCUGAAACUUUCGGUAUAUCAUGUUGCUUGAAACUUUUAUCUAGUGAAGCGUUCUUUAAACAGCUGAGCUAACAGAAUUAGUAUGCAGAGAACGAUCGGAGCUUCUUCAGCCGUAACGUUCCCCACGCAAACCUCAGGAGUGGAUUUAUUUGUCAAUGUCGAAUCGAUUUAAAACCUUGUAUCUUUCGUCACUUUUUAUUCAAGGUUUUUG